rnacentral:lncRNA from 1 species
CAUCACAAGGUUGGGUGAGGGAGAAUGUCACAGAUCUAAGGAAGAGUCUUGAAUCUCACAUCCUACAAAACUGAAAAAAUGAAAUUCAUUUAUUUGAUUUGAUUAAUAGAUGUACCUUAGCAAUUCGACAUGGAUCCAAUAUAUUUUAUCAAAACAUGUGAUGAAGAGAUUUGCUUUGUCCACCGAACCCAAUUUUUAGAAAAAAAAAAAACACACAUAAUUUUCGAUAACUUCUUGCUCCCUCUUCCCAAAAUUCCAGAUUUACUUUUUGUUAAUUUCCUGGCUUAGUGUGAGAUAGAAAUACGCCUGUCUCGUCUUAAUCUUAAUAAUGAGUGAAUCAAUGAAUGAAAGUGGAAGAAAUGAAGAAUGAAAGUGGAAGAAAUGAAGUUUAACUCCCCUUUUUAUGUUUAUGUCAGACCAAUCACUUCCCGAAAGGAUCAAAGCCAGCUCUAAACCAUUCAAUCCAUGCCAACGCAUCGAGGGAGGUAGGCAGGGUGGUCAACCUCCGUGACGAAGGCAUCACAAGGUUGGGUGGGAGAGAAUGUCAC